GGGCCUGUAGCUCAGCUGGUUAGAGCGUUACAUUGACAUUGUAAAGGUCUGCAGUUCAAAUCUGCACAGGCCCA
rnacentral:tRNA from 1 species